GACGAGCCUCACGAACGUUAUUCGGAAUUACUGGGCUUAAAGGGUGCGUAGGCGGCGCGGAAAGUUGGGUGUGAAAUCCCUCGGCUCAACCGAGGAACUGCGCCCAAAACUACCGUGCUCGAGGAAGAUAGAGGUGAGCGGAACUUACGGUGGAGCGGUGAAAUGCGUUGAUAUCGUAAGGAACACCCGUGGCGAAAGCGGCUCACUGGGUCUUUCCUGACGCUGA
rnacentral:rRNA from 1 species